CGAAAGCCUGACGGAGCAAGACCGCGUGAGGGAGGAAGGCUCUUGGGUUGUAAACCUCUUUUCUCAGGGAAGAAGCUCUGACGGUACCUGAGGAAUCAGCCUCGGCUAACUCCGUGCCAGCAGCCGCGGUAAUACGGAGGAGGCAAGCGUUAUCCGGAAUUAUUGGGCGUAAAGCGUCCGCAGGUGGCGAUUCAAGUCUGCUGUCAAAGCACGGGGCUUAACUCCGUAAAGGCAGUGGAAACUGAAUAGCUAGAGUGCCGUAGGGGUAGAGGGAAUUCCCGGUGUAGCGGUGAAAUGCGUAGAGAUCGGGAAGAACAUCGGUGGCGAAAGCGCUCUACUGGACGGCAACUGACACUCAGGGACGAAAGCUAGGGGAGCG
rnacentral:rRNA from 1 species